rnacentral:rRNA from 1 species
UAGGGAAUCUUCCGCAAUGGACGCAAGUCUGACGGAGCAACGCCGCGUGAGUGAAGAAGGAUUUCGGUUCGUAAAACUCUGUUGUUAGAGAAGAACAGCGCAUAGAGUAACUGUUAUGCGUGUGACGGUAUCUAACCAGAAAGCCACGGCUAACUACGUGCCAGCAGCCGCGGUAAUACGUAGGUGGCAAGCGUUGUCCGGAUUUAUUGGGCGUAAAGCGAGCGCAGGCGGUCAAUUAAGUCUGAUGUGAAAGCCCCCGGCUCAACCGGGGAGGGUACUUGGAAACUGGUUGACUUGAGUGCAGAAGAGGAGAGUGGAAUUCCAUGUGUAGCGGUGAAAUGCGUAGAUAUAUGGAGGAACACCAGUGGCGAAGGCGACUCUCUGGUCUGUAACUGACGCUGAGGCUCGAAAGCGUGGGUAGCAAACAGG